CUAUGCGCCUUGCCAGCCCGCUCAGGUGUGCCAGCAGCCGCGGUAAUACGUAGGGGCAAGCGUUAUCCGGAUUUACUGGGUGUAAAGGGAGCGUAGACGGCGAUGCAAGUCUGAAGUGAAAGGCGGGGGCCCAACCCCCGGACUGCUUUGGAAACUGUAUGGCUGGAGUGCAGGAGAGGUAAGUGGAAUUCCUAGUGUAGCGGUGAAAUGCGUAGAUAUUAGGAGGAACACCAGUGGCGAAGGCGGCUUACUGGACUGUAACUGACGUUGAGGCUCGAAAGCGUGGGAGCAAACAGG
rnacentral:rRNA from 1 species